rnacentral:lncRNA from 10 species
ACUAAGCCGGCGCAGGCCUUCGCAAGAUGGCGGCUGGAGGCAAGGGCAGAGGCCUUCAGAGCGUUUUCUUUUUCCCUUUCCUCCCUUCCUGCAAACAAUGUGGCUACAGUUUAACUGGAAGUGACAAACUGAGGAAACUGAGGCACUGGAAGAUGAAGGCUACAGAGGUAGAAAGUGAUGGAGGAGAUACAUCCAGAAGACUGCAUUACAAUUUCAAAUCAAAGCUGGACAAGUUUUUUUUUUUUUUUACACAGAUAUCACCAUGUUAGAAAAGUUGGACAAGUUUUGAAACCAUUCUGAACCUAUCAUUCCUGUCUUUCAAAUCCUUCCAAGGCAUCUUAUUAUUGAUUUGUUUCUAUAUUUUCCUCAUUAUUAAAGAGGUUGAGUAUCUUUUCUCUAGAGCUAGUUUGGGUUCUGAUUUUCUUCACUUUCGUGAUGGAGUCAUUUUAGAAUUGAAGGGCAUCAUAGCAACUGAGGCAGUGUUGACAUCAUCAAUGUUUUAGGAUUACAGGUAACCAUAUUUCCCAGUUUGCUUGGGACAAGGCCAGUUUGUACCUCUUGUCCUAGCAUUUUUUUUUUUUUUUUUUUUUUUGAGACAGAGUCUCGCUCUGUCACCCAGAUUGGAGUGCAGUGGCGUGAUCUCAGCUCACUGCAAUCUCCACCUCCUGGGUUCAAGUGAUUCUCCUGCCUCAGCCUCCUGAGUAGCUGGUAUUACAGGCACGCACCACCAUGCCUGGCAAAUUUUUGUAUUUUUAGUAGACACGGGGUUUCGCCAUGUUGGCCAGUCUGGUAUCAAACUCCUGACCUCAAGUGACGCCCUGGCUCGGCCUCCCACAGUGAUGGGAUUACAGGCGUGAGCCACCGUGCCUGGCCCUAGUAUAUUUUUUAAUAGCAUUGCAUUCAAUCUCAAAAGUGUGUGAGUUUUGAUGAAAAAUUAUAUGGUGGUCAUUUAUUAUCUGAAAUACACAUCAAAAUACCACUAUUGCCAUUUUGCUCUGGUAUCUUCAUCAGUGGGUGCAGGAUUGUCAUGAAGGCGGGGGGAGGUUGUUCUGCUUCCUUCUCUGUUGCAUCCCCAGAGCCCAGAACAGUGCCCAGCACCCAGUAAGUGCUUAAUGAAUAUGAAUGCAUCUGCACAUAAAUUCGUUUCUUGGGGCUUGGCACAUUGCCACUUGAACAAAUGGAUUCUAUUAACAAGGAGUAUGGAGCAAUGAUUUUGGGGUACACAACUCAUGGCGCCUGCCAAAACAUGCGCUUUAGAUUUUGAUAGAUAUCGUCAAGUUGUUCUCCGCAGGGGUUGAGCCAGUUUACACUCCCACCAGCAAUAUGUGAGAGCAUCUGUUUCUCUAACCUUCACCCACAUGGUGUUAUCAAAAUUUUUAUCUGUGCCAAUCUGGUAUUUUAAAUUUGCAUUUUCUUUAUUAUGGAAAGAUAGAGCAUACUUUCAUAUGUUUAAAAGCCAUUUGAAAUUUCUAAGAACUGUCUGUUCAUAUCCUCUGCCCAUUUUUUUUUUUUCAGUGAAUUACUGGUCUUUUUCUUAUCAAUCCAUAGGAAUACAAAUAGUUGUUCCAAGCUUUUCAUGCCUUUUGAGUUUGUUUCUGGUGUUGUUACUAAGCAGAAUUUAAAACAUGUAUUUAUAUUUAGCUUCUUUCGUUUUAUUGCAUCUAUAUUUUGCAUCAUGCUUAGAAAGGCUUUCCCAGAUUGUAAAAUAAUUCUCCCAUAUUUUCUUGUCUUACUUUCAAGUUUUCAUUUUUUUCACAUGUAAGUCUUGAUCUAUCUGAAAUUUAUUUUGGUGUAAGAUUUGAGAUAUGAAUAAAAUCUAAUAUUGUUU